rnacentral:rRNA from 1 species
UGAGUAGUACGGUCGCAAGAUUAAAACUCAAAGGAAUUGACGGGGGUCCGCACAAGCGGUGGAACAUGUGGUUUAAUUCGACACUACGCGAGGAACCUUACCUGGGUUUGACAUGUAAUCGCUACUGGUAGAAAUACUGGGUUCCGUAGCAAUACGGACGGUUACACAGGUGCUGCAUGGCUGUCGUCAGCUCGUGUCGUGAGACGUCGGGUUAAGUCCUUGAACGAGCGCAACCCUUGCCGUUAGUUGCUAGCCGCAAGGCAGCACUCUAGCGGGACUGCCUAGGAAACUAGGAGGAAGGUGGGGAUGACGUCAAGUCCGCAUGGCCCUUAUACCCAGGGCUACACACGUGUUACAAUGGCGAGGAACAAAAGGAUGCGAAGUCGCGAGAUGGAGCAAAUCCCCAAAACUCGUCUAAGUUCAGAUUGUAGUCUGCAACCCGACUACAUGAAGUUGAAAUCGCUAGUAAUCGCAUAUCAGAACGAUGCGGUGAAUACGUUCUCGGACCUUGUACACACCGCCCGUCACACCAUGGGAGCCGUCGGCACCCGAAAUCAACUUAGCUAACUGAGCAAUCAGAGGCGGAUGAUGAAGGUGAAGGGGGUGACUGGGGUGAAGUCGUAACAAGGUAGCUGUACGAGAACGUGCGGCUGGAUCACCUCCUUUCUG